AGUUUUCAGUUGAGUUCUGUUUCUGUUCGGUUCAGUUCGGUUCGGUUUUCUUGCGUUUUUCCAAGAUUUCCAUUUUUCUUUCCGUUUUUUUGUUGAAACUGUCUUGUGUUUCGUCAUAAAAGUACCAUUUUGGAUUAUUUUUUUUUGGAUUAAAUCAAAGACCAACGUUUGACUUUGUGGCUCUACCGACACUCCGACGACGAUGACGACGUUGAUCCGUGGGAUUACCUCGCGCCGGAACUGAACGAUGGAUCUGGCAGAUCAAAUCGAUGACUAUAUCUGUUCGUUCGAAGGACUUGGCGACUUAACAAUGGACUCCCUGGCCAUCUUCAUCUUCCUGUGGGCCGUGCUGGCCCUCUUCUCCGUCUGGCUGAUCAAGCUCCUCUACCACAAGUAUCUCAACAAGGGCAAGGCACCCAGCGCCGCCACCAGCCGCCAGAGCAGCGUGGCCCCCGGCUCGGGAUCCCCCACCUCCGGCUCCGGCAAGACUGAGAAGCGUCUCUCCGAGCCACGCGACCUCCUGGCUACCAAGAGCAAGGUGGCCGAGGAUUUGGCCAAGCCCCUGGCUGCAGGAGCGGCCGGUGGAGCUAGAGGCCGCUCGUCAGCCUCACCGCUGAACUCCGCCGCUGCCGGUCCACGUCGUCGGGUGGUGCGUCAGAGCUCCACGGGUCCCGAGAACCGCAAGAAGCGGUAUGUGCCGCCGCCCUCCAAUGUUGUGGGCCCCGAAACGAGCUCCGUCACCUGGACCAGCCAGGUGUUCCGCUGGCUAUACAGCGACCUGGUCAUCGUCAACGAACUGCUCAUGUCCUGGGUGAUUGCCAUUAACGACUCGCUGCGCAAAUCCGUGGAGGAGCAUGGAGUGGCCGUGGAGGUUGUCCGAGUGCUGCCCGACAGCCCUGCUCCCGGCCUGAACAACAUCUUCUGCAACUGCGAUGAGAACAAUCCCGCCGACAUGCUCAUCACCUUCGACUGUGACGCCAUGCCGGUGCUGCAGGUGAAGACUUUCCGGCAGAAGGCGGGCAAGGUGGAGACCUCCCACUACAAGGUCACCGUGUCGAGGUUCCGAGCCCGCAUGGCCAUUCCCAUGAACUACAACACCCUCAAGGGUGAGAUGCGCGUCGAGGGCUAUCCAGAUGUCCGCAUCGCGAUGAACAGCGUGGGCGCCAUCAAGCCGAUGGACCAGGACGAGCAGCAGCUCCAGACGGUGAUCAGCGACAUCCUGACGACGGCGCUGCGCGACACCGUCUACCCGGUGGACUUCUCCAUCUACUCCACCUGCCCCCGAGCGGAUGUGGAGCCAUUGGAGCUGCCCCACAACAUGGAGCAUCUGAGCGGUGGCCUGAGGGACUCCCAGCGCAUGGUUUCCGGCCGCCGGCUGCUGGUGAAGAUCGUCAAGGGUGAGGGACUGCGGGACGCCCACGAUCCCUACGUGGUCAUCGAAAUGGACGAGCCGGCCCAGAAGAACCAGACGGGAACCCAGCGCGGCAGCAAGCCCUACUGGGACGAGCACUUUCUCUUUGAACUCUCCCCGCAAUCUGCCGAGAUCCUCUUUGAGGUCUACGACCAUCCGGUGAUUGCCUCGGAUCCGCCCAAGUUCCUGGGUCUGGGCCUGGUGGGCAUCGACGAGCUGGCCGUAGGUCCAGCCUCCACGCAGCUCCUGCAGCUACAGCCACGUCCUUACGAGACCCAGCCCGUGUCGGGAGCCAUCACCGUGGACUUUGUGUUCAUCGAGGGAGCCGAAAUCCCGGCUGGCACGCGCCCCCAGCACCUGAAGGAGGCGCUGCGCAUCAGCACUCCGGCCAUCAACGAGCACAUCCGGAACGGAGCCGACCUGGCGGACGCAGCCGUGCGCGCUCUGCAAGACGGAGCCCUCUCCGGCACCGGAAACGGCGGCCAGCCCAGCAAGAGCACCCUGAUCAUCCACAGCGUACAGCGGAACUCGACCGGCCCGAAUGCAUUUAAGGUUGCGCUGAACGAGGACGGCAGACUCGAGGUGACCCAGGCCCCGACGGAGCUGGAUGAGGCGGUGGCCCAGGCCUUCGAGCGGGCUGCCAGCGAGGCCCAGGCCGAGCUCCAGCUCCAGGAGAAGCAGGCCGACGCGGAGGUGGCCGACGCCAACGACUCAGGUAACAACACCAUCAACGAGGAUAGCACCGCCGAGUAUGGCCAGCCCAACGCCGCCUCCUCGCCCAACGGCAGCAGCUACCACAACAACUACAGCCUGAAUGGCAAUGGAAACGGCAACACGAACGGAUCCGGCUACAACAGCCUGCCCCGGAACGGAGGUGGAGGACUCUCUGCCUCCCAGCUGGCCCAGCAGAACUCAUCCGGCUAUAUGGAUGGCAGCGACGUGGUCGAUGAUCGCGGGCGCAGCAAAAAACGUAAUUUCUUUGGUACCCUGAAGAAGCGGCUCAGCCGCUCCAAGACACGCACCCUCUCGGCCGACCAACCGCCCAAUAAUAACAGUCAUAAGUCACUAUCAGCCACCAACUCGUCAGCCACUGGACUCCCUCGAACAGCCACCGGAACCCUCAAUGGUGAAUCUUCCCGUUCAUUAUCUGUCGAUCGUGCCACUCUGUCCAAAAGCAAUUCACUUGGACCCCGCAUGGGCAUCGGGCACUCCAUCACCGACCACUCACGUCGCUCCUCAAUUUCAGAAUCCUCGGCCAUCUCAGGCUUCUCCUCGGCGAGCAACAAGACCUACGUGCACGAGGCCUCCACCCUGGUGCUGGAGACCAUCGAGAACGGCGUAAAGCGCCACUUUAUUGUGCCUUUGGCCAUCGCCCAGAGACCCCGCUGGAGGCGCAAGGGCACCAAGCUGCACAUCUACAACGACCACACCUUCAUCGCCAAGCAUUUGAGCGGAAGCGGCCUACAGUGCUCCAUCUGCAUGAAGUCGAUCCCGCGGAGGCCCGGAAAGCAGGGCUACGAAUGCCGCGACUGCCAGCUGAUCUGUCACAAGCAGUGUCACAUACGGGCGCCCCAGUCCUGUCCCAAUCCCACGGUGCUCUCCAUGGAACUAACAUCAUUUCCGGUACUCACAGAGAGAGAUAUUAACCUAGUUAACUAGAGCCAUUUAUUUUGUGUCCCAAUCUUAAUUUUGUAAAAGCCUUGAGUCCGCCAAAUGCAGUUUGAUAUUUAACAAAAGCGAUUUUGAUUUUAUUUGAAUUCGGCGUCAGAAGUGGAAAUUACAGAUUUGGGCUUUGUUUUCCGGCUUCCGGCUCCCGCCAUCCCCCAGCAACCACCCCACCAUUUAUAGCCACCUCGCUUUUGGCCACGCUUCUCAUUUUGUUGUAUUGUUUUUUUAUGGGCACUAAUCCGAGCUCUUCUCUCAUCGCACCCACUUCACCAUCGAUCGACCAACCAUCCGUCCCCCUGGAGCAGGAUGACAAGUGAUCAGACCUAGUAGAAACAACACCAUCCAGCAUAAGUACAGCAUAAGUCCAGGGGCCAGGCCACUUUCUGACGCCAAUAUAUUUCAAAGACCCGUCCACACACUCUCCAACUUCGAUUCGUAAACCACAGCAGGGCCCUUUAGAUUCCUCCAGCAGAAGUUAUUAGAGGUUCGAGCGUUUUCCAGUUGGCCUUUGGCAACUGGGAAAUCGGGGACCAAACUUAACUCAGCUGCGGCGGACCGCAGCAUCCGGAAGCUGUGAAGGGGAACCCCGGAACGUCCGAGGUACCCAUCCGAAAACCUUAAUCGAAAUACUAAUCCUAGUUAGUCUAGACGGAGGAGGAGAAGCUGUGCGAGCUAUCUACGCUGCUAUGGGAAUCCUUGAUACAUCUUAUUUCGUUAUUUAUUUAUACACCAGCGAACACACCACAACCACGUGCAAUAGGUUCUUUGGUUUCGUUUUUAACCCAUUUCUCUGUGUCAACGAGCUCGAGGCCCUUGAUAUUUUGUAUUUUCUACAAAACACGAAUAAUAAUUGUACAAAAUGAAA